rnacentral:rRNA from 1 species
UACGUAGGUGGCAAGCGUUGUCCGGAUUUAUUGGGUUUAAAGGGUGCGUAGGCGGCCCUGUAAGUCAGCGCUGAAAUAUCCCGGCUUAACCGGGAGGGUGGCAUUGAUACUGCAGGGCUUGAGUAAAGUUGAGGUUGGCGGAAUUGACGGUGUAGCGGUGAAAUGCGUAGAUAUCGGAAGGAACAUCAGUGGCGAAAGCGGCUUCCUGGACCAGCACCGACGUUCAGGCACGAAAGCGUGGGGAGCAAACAGG